rnacentral:rRNA from 1 species
GAUGAACGCUGGCGGCGUGCCUAAUACAUGCAAGUCGAGCGAACAGACGAGGAGCUUGCUCCUCUGACGUUAGCGGCGGACGGGUGAGUAACACGUGGAUAACCUACCUAUAAGACUGGGAUAACUUCGGGAAACCGGCGCUAAUACCGGAUAAUAUAUUGAACCGCAUGGUUCAAUAGUGAAAGACGGUUUUGCUGUCACUUAUAGAUGGAUCCGCGCCGCAUUAGCUAGUUGGUAAGGUAACGGCUUACCAAGGCAACGAUGCGUAGCCGACCUGAGAGGGGGAUCGGCCACACUGGAACUGAGACACGGUCCAGACUCCUACGGGAGGCAGCAGUAUGGAAUCUUCCGCAAUGGGCGAAAGCCUGACGGAGCAACGCCGCGUGAGUGAUGAAGGUCUUCGGAUCGUAAAACUCUGUUAUUAGGGAAGAACAAAUGUGUAAGUAACUAUGCACGUCUUGACGGUACCUAAUCAGAAAGCCACGGCUAACUACGUG